ensembl:snRNA U6 U6 spliceosomal RNA
GUGCCUACCUUGGGAGCCCAUAUGCUCAAUUAGAAUGAACAAGAAAAUUUGCAAGUCCCUUUGCAAGGAUGGCAUGUAAAUUUGUGAGCAUUCCAUAUUUUU